UAACAUAUGAGUGGUAUUAUUCCAUUAGCCAGAAUUGCAUCACAUUUGAGCUGUCAUACACUCAGCUACACUGAAGUCAGGGAGCUGCAGCUUCUCUCCAAUCCUUCUUACAGUUCCGUGUCUGUCACUUUAAACCAAGAGGUGAGUGCCAAAUUCAGCGAAGCUCAUUGAAUAUACUGGGGCUAAAAUUGCUGCAAGAAGUUAGAGAAGUAAAGCUAAGGAGCCAAACAGGAGUGGUGGGAGCUAGAAGAGGAAUAAAAAGGUGGGGCUGAAAGCAAGGAAGCAAAAAAGAAUUUGUUAAAAUCAAGGGUUAGAGAAACCAAAAUGUGCACUGCAUAAGAAUCCUCAGAGAUAGCCUGGUCAGUCAUCCCUGGCAAACGUUCCUUAUGCUUCAGUUUCUCAGUCAGUUUUCUCCUUGGUGUCACUGCUCCUCUUUCUUGCUCAGAACAGGCUGAAGCUUUCUCAUUUGCAGGUUUCCACUCGGCUUAUAUGAUUUUCCUUUCCCGUCUGGUUUUCCUUAGUUCUGUAUUAUACAAAAAUUUUCUCUUUUUGCUGCUUUACAUCAGUGGAAUUCCCAAGGGAGAAAUCAGAUUCUUUUUAUUUCUAGUAAACAAUAAUAUAACAGUGAAAUAAACUAUUAACUGCCCUACUGACUGCAAAUAUUUUCAUACAGGACCUGUAAUAAAUGUGUAUAAACUACAAGGAUUUCCAUCACUAUGGAGUGUUUUGGUUGUCAAAAUACAGAGAUGACAAAUGACUUCUUUGCAGAAAGCCGGCAGAAAAUCUGUGUACGGCUGAUGCAUCGAGCAACAUGUGGGGAAUGUUAAUAGCUCUGUCACCCUCUCAGUUGGGAAAACACUUCUCAGAGGGAAAGGAUGAACACUGAGGGUGCUGGAACAGAUUGCAUCAAGGUUUCACAUAUGGUGCCACUCCACCGUCAACUGGGCAUUCCCGAUGAUGUCCGUCUUCUGCAUUUUAUGCAGCAGUGUGCAGGUAUGAAGAACUUGCCUCUCUUUCCAUGGUAGUUUAGUUUUUAAAAAACCUUGAAUGAGGGA